rnacentral:rRNA from 1 species
CCCUUAGAUGUUCUGGGCCGCACGCGUGCUACACUGAGUGGAUCAGCGGGUCAGGUUGCGCGAAAGCGUUUCCUAAUCUUUAAAUCCGCUCGUGAUGGGGAUUGACGGUUGCAAUUUUCUGUCAUGAACGAGGAAUACCUUGUAAGCGCGGGUCAUCAUCCCGCGCUGAAUACGUCCCUGCCCUUUGUACACACCGCCCGUAGCUCCUACCGAUUGAGUGGUCCGGUGAGGCUUUGGGAUCUGAGCGGAAAGAGCGUUUCGCUGUUUCUGCUCGGAAAACUCAGUCGAACCUUAUCAUUUAGAGGAAGGAGAAGUCGUAACA